rnacentral:rRNA from 1 species
UACGUAGGCAGCGAGCGUUGUUCGGCAUUACUGGGCGUAAAGAGUGUGUAGGCGGUGCUCUAAGUUCGGUGUGAAAUCUCCUGGCUCAACUGGGAGGGUGCGCCGGAAACUGGAGUGCUUGAGCGUGGGAGAGGAAAGCGGAAUUCCUGGUGUAGCGGUGAAAUGACGUAGAUAUCAGGAGGAACACCUGUGGUGUAGACGGCUUUCUGGACCAUAGCUGACGCUGAGACACGAAAGCGUGGGUAGCAAACAGG